UUUUAAAGAUUAGAUUAGUUAAAAAAACCAAAAAGUUGUUUAGUGUUUCUAUCAAUAAUGAUAGUCUUGCAAUGUAACAAUGUUUACUUGAUAUUUGUUUAACAUGAUUUCGACUAAGUGAUCAUCAUCUUCACUUUUACUUGAGAGAUGAAACCAGAGAGAUCUCUUACAUAAGAGAAAGGUUUUGUGGUGAGUACUUUGUUUGAGUUCCAAGAGAUAUUGCAUACACCAGCUUUGUGAACUGCCAAAAACACUUUUCAAACCAAAGAUUCCAACAUAUUUCUCAUCACAAUUCCAAGAUCAAGUACUACUCAGUUCAAAGCUCUUGUCUUUUCUCUUUACUCUCCUCACACAUAAAUUUCUAGUUUAUUCUGGUUUACUCUCCUAAAAGACCUUCUAAGGUCCUUGUUAGUUGUUACUUACGUCUAAUACAAUCAAGAAGCAAAGAAAGCUUUUUCUGACAUAGUGAUAGAACUAAUGAAGCUAAGUUUCUAAGGUUUGGUAGUGAGUGGUAAGUAAAUUGUAUGAGUUCCAAGUAAUUUGGCACACACAAGCUUUUCGAACUACCAAAAAGCUAUUUCUCACAAUGAUACCACUUGGUUAAAUGCUCUUGUCUUUGCUCUCCUCAUCCACACAUAAAUUUCUAGUUUCUUCUGCUAUUAUCAUCCUAUCAUCUUUGAAAUCCUCAUAGCAAUAUUACGGUGAAAAAGGUCUUCUCCAAGACUCUUGUGCAAUCACAUCUCACAUGUCUCACUUCCUAAGUAGUUUAAGAGCUAUUGAUGCAGGAACCCUACGGAUAUUAUUGAUUCAAAUUAACACAUUUUAGGAAGAAACUUACACAUCAAGGAACAUCAGAUAAUCCUACUGAACACUUACUUGAUUUUUUUCGUAAAAAGAAUUUCACAGCUACACCAUCUUAGGAGCAUAGAUAUUUAGGUACUCAAGCAAAGAAAACCCUAAAAAGGUUACUUGUUACUUACGUCCUAUAUAAAUCAAGAACCAAAGACAAAACUAUCAAGACAAAGUUUCAAGGUUCUUUCAACUAAGAAAUAAAACUUUAAGCUAAAACAAAGAAACACGAAUAAGGCUUCAGAGGGACAAAAGCAAAAAAUUUCAGGAGAAUACUGGCAACAGAGACAAGAACAAGAACCCUAAUUGAAUCGGGUCAAGUCAUAAGCUGCAAAGCGGAUCCCUAAUGUUAAUAUAUGCACAGAAAAUUAUUAGACAGAUUCCCCAAUCUUUAUUACAGGGAUGUCCCAGUACUUGUGCAAUAUCAUUCAUAAGCCUUUUUGAUGAUACUCAAAAUCAAGAAAACGAAAUAAACAGAGAACUAUAAAGAAAAACACAUAACAGAGAAAGACAGAAACGGCGGAAGCAAGUGUUUGUG
rnacentral:lncRNA from 1 species